CUUUAAAAAAUAUAUUUUAAUAAAUUAUAAUUUAUUUUCUUUAGUAAUUAUAAUCAUGAAAUCUUUGCUCCCCUAAGGUUGCACAGAUGCUCUGUCAUCUUUAAUAUUUUUCUUCCACGUUCGAGCCCAUUUACUUGGUGUCAGGUGCGCCAGGCCUGCAUCACCAGCCUGGGUUUCUCUACCUGCGCCGAUACUCCCGAGCCCGUGAAGCCCGUGCCACCCGCUGCAGCAUGCCGGUGUCCUGAUCCAGGAGCUUCUCCCGGUUCACCGGGUCCACCACGUCCUCCGCCAUCAGCUUCAUCCUGCGCUCCAGGGUGACCACGACCGCAGAAGGCCAGAGCAACGGCGUGAGGCACGGCACCUCCCAAGCUGUCGCGGGUCACGGCACACACGUGGCGCGGGCUGAGCUUGAGGAGCCUCACGCGAUCCAUGAAGGCGACGAACGGCGUGGGGCGCAUGCGCCGUGAGGUCUGACAUGCGCCGUGACGUCUCCGCCGUAGGGACAGUGGCGGUGCUCGUCGGCUUCCGAGCUUGGCGGUCUUGGCUUGGGGGGUCAGCGACGGGAUCCGGAAGCUGGGCAGUGCUUUGUCUUUGUCCUGCGGGACCUGCAGUGGCCCGGCUCAGGCGUCUUCUGGGCCUGUUCCCCAGGCGGCCUUGGGCAUGAAAGGUUGAGCACCAGCUCAGUGUGCACGAUGGCCGCGUCCUCUUCUGGGAAGCCGUGCACUUGCCCCUGCGCCAUGGCCGCCGCGGCUGUUUCUGCACCUCACGCCCAGCCCCCGGCUGCUCCUGGAUCCUCAUCUUCGCCGUGGUCUCCUUCUGGUGCGAAGUGUACGCCAGGAUUGCCUCGCGCUCACGCAGGUGGAACCCAGAUACUUGAUGGCAUUUUUGAGCAGUUGCACUUGCCCUGGAUGAUCCAUCCCUGAACUUUGUGCCAUGAUAGAAAAUCAGCUGGAAUCUGAAGCUCUUGAGUUAAGUAAUUCCUGAACAUGGCAAGUGGUUCUCAAGACUACGUGGGAAAGAAAACGCUUAAGAAGAGUAAGGACAAUUUUGAAAAAGAUGCCCUGUGAUAAGACUUGUCCUAUAAGAUAUCACAACAGGUUAUAAAGCUAAAGUAGUUAAUGGGAUGUGUCAUUGGCAUGGGGAUAAAAAAAAAGUAGAUAAUGGAACAAAGUAGAAAAGUAACAAAUGGUCCUGUGCAUGUUGAAAUGUUUAUCCUUAUGUUUAAAGUGAAAAUUUUCAACUUUACAGCAUGUCAAAUCCGUUCUGUAGAGUGAAGUUGUAAAUAUGAAUAGCAAGACAUUGAAAUUUUAGGAAAAAAAUCAUAGAAGACCGUAUUACUGUCUUUAGAUAAGAAAUUAUUUUGGGGGGCACCUGAGUGGCUUAGAUGGUUAAGCAUCUGACUUCAGCUCAAGUCAUGAUCUUGCAGUUCGUGGGUUCAAGUUCUGAGUCCAGCUCUGUGCUGACAGCUCAGCUGGGGCCUGCUUCAGGUUCUGGUCUCCCUCUCUCUGCUCUUCCCCAGCUCAUGCUCUGUGUCUCUUUCUCAAAAAUAAAAUAAACAUUAAAAAAUAAAAAAAAAUAUUU
ensembl:lncRNA